UACGUAGGGGGCAAGCGUUGUCCGGAUUUAUUGGGCGUAAAGAGCGUGUAGGCGGCCAGGUAGGUCUGCUGUGAAAACUCGAGGCUCAACCUCGAGACGUCGGUUGAAGCCACCUGGCUAGAGUCCGGAAGAGGAGUGUGGAAUUCCCGGUGUAGCGGUGAAAUGCGCAGAUAUCGGGAAGAACACCCGUGGCGAAGGCGGCACUCUGGGACGGUACUGACGCUGAGACGCGAAAGCGUGGGGAGCGAACAGG
rnacentral:rRNA from 1 species